rnacentral:rRNA from 1 species
AGAGCGAACGCUGGCGGCAGGCUUAACACAUGCAAGUCGAGCGGGCGUAGCAAUACGUCAGCGGCAGACGGGUGAGUAACGCGUGGGAACGUACCUUUUGGUUCGGAACAACCCAGGGAAACUUGGGCUAAUACCGGAUAAGCCCUUACGGGGAAAGAUUUAUCGCCGAAAGAUCGGCCCGCGUCUGAUUAGCUAGUUGGUGAGGUAAUGGCUCACCAAGGCGACGAUCAGUAGCUGGUCUGAGAGGAUGAUCAGCCACAUUGGGACUGAGACACGGCCCAAACUCCUACGGGAGGCAGCAGUGGGGAAUAUUGGACAAUGGGCGCAAGCCUGAUCCAGCCAUGCCGCGUGAGUGAUGAAGGCCCUAGGGUUGUAAAGCUCUUUUGUGCGGGAAGAUAAUGACGGUACUGCAAGAAUAAGCCCGGCUAACUUCGUGCCAGCAGCCGC